rnacentral:rRNA from 1 species
GAUGAACGCUGACAGAAUGCUUAACACAUGCAAGUCAACUUGAACUUCGGUUUGGGUGGCGGACGGGUGAGUAACGCGUAAAGAACUUGCCUCACAGCUAGGGACAACAUUUGGAAACGAAUGCUAAUACCUGAUAUUAUGAUUUUAGGGCAUCCUAGAAUUAUGAAAGCUAUAUGCGCUGUGAGAGAGCUUUGCGUCCCAUUAGCUAGUUGGAGAGGUAACGGCUCACCAAGGCGAUGAUGGGUAGCCGGCCUGAGAGGGUGAACGGCCACAAGGGGACUGAGACACGGCCCUUACUCCUACGGGAGGCAACAGUGGGGAAUAUUGGACAAUGGACCAAGAGUCUGAUCCAGCAAUUCUGUGUGCACGAUGAAGUUUUUCGGAAUGUAUAGUGCUUUCAGUUGGGAAGAAAAAAAUGACGGUACCAACAGAAGAAGUGACGGCUAAAUACGUG